GACGAACGCUGGCGGCGUGCCUAACACAUGCAAGUCGAACGGAGUGGCGAACGGGUGAGUAACACGUGGGUGAGCUGCCUUGCACUUCGGGAUAAGCUUGGGAAACUGGGUCUAAUACCGGAUAGUGCAAGAUGAGCUCGCGGCCUAUCAGCUUGUUGGUGGGGUAAUGGCCCACCAAGGCGUCGAAGGGUGGCCGGCCUGAGAGGGUGUACGGCCACAUUGGGACUGAGAUACGGCCCAGACUCCUACGGGGGACAGCAGUGAGGAAUAUUGCACGAUAGGCGGAAGGCUGAUGCAGCGACGCCGCGUGGGGGAUGAAGGCCUUCGGGUUGUAACCUCCUUUCGACAGGGACGCGGUACCUGUAUGAGAAGCACCGGCUAACUGCGUGCCAGCAGCCGCGGUAAUUC
rnacentral:rRNA from 1 species